rnacentral:lncRNA from 1 species
UCGAGGUCGGAUGUCCCUGGUGAGGCCAGCCAGGACAUCAAUGAUCCCAUUCCCCACCGUCCGAGGAAGGAUCCCACUCGACUGUCCACCCAGGAGGAAGCUGGGGCAACCAAGUGCCAACAACAAGCUCUGAAGUUUCAACUUCACCUGAAAAGAGAGCCACAAACAAGGCUGAGCUGCUAAGCUCAACAAGACUUAACCGACCGGUGGAAAAACUACUCCACCACGUCUAGACAUGCAAGGCUCUUUGGCUGAGGGGUUUUGUUUGCCAAAUGCAACUAUGUUGGUUCUUACUUUCAAAGUUUUAGCUCAGAUUCUAAUUUCAUUAACCAGUCUACAUUUGCAACUUACACUAAGCAAGCAUAUAUCCAACAUUAUGUAUACAAACUUAACAUCAAGACCAUGUCAUCAUCAGACUCCUUCAUUACUCAGUGUAGCAUAGCGAUCAAGCAGUCUCAAACUGUGAGAGGCAGACAAAUCGAUUCGAGUUCUUUAACCAUGCAUGGUGAACCUAACCUCACGACAUCCGUGCACCACCGAGGGUCGCUUCCUGUGUCUGCCUUCCCCAUCAAUUCCCUAACCCGUGUCGGGCCCACUUCUCUUGGUGCAAUGUUCCACAGACCCGGCCUCUGACAUUCUGUGACCACACUUGCCACCACGUGCGGCCGCAGGGGAACUUCGUUCCAGAGACAGUGGAUCAAACCACUCACGUUUAGGUUCAAUCAGGUACUAGGCUUCCCCAUCCCAUAAUGGGUAUGAGAUUAGUACUUUCAAACACUUGAUCACGAACACCACCACUGUUGGGCCUUAACAGAUUCAAUAAACAGACGGGGCGACUAGCCGACCACCAAAAGAGUUAUCUAAAACCCUGCCCCAUCCAUUGUCCUUAUAGUUGUAAACAAAAGAGAACAUCCAACUCCUAUAACUCGCGAGUGAUAGGGAAUCACUCGACUUUUACCAAGUCCUAUUUAAGCAUUGCAACUACUCGACCCAACAGACUAGUGUUCAAGCAAAGGAACUAAGUCAUGCAUCUAUGGUUGCAAACAACUCCUAUACGUAAAUGCACAAUCAUGAGAAGAAAGGCAUGUGCAAGUUUAGAAAGUUGGGUGUAUGCUCCGGGGCUUGCCUUCAAGCAGAGGGGAGGGAAACUAGUUUUAGCCGAUGUUGCUUCGGCUUCUGGGAUUGGCGGUUCUGCUACAGCUCCGUCUUCAGGUGCCGGGUGUAGCUCGUAGGUGCCGUCGGUGAGGUGUAACUCUACACGAAUGCAAUGCAGGAGUUAGCACUUAGACGGUUAUUUCAACAACACUUGCAAGAUUAAGCUCAGACACUUGUAGCAAAGCUACAUAAAAGGUAGGGGAGUUCAACUUUAGCUGGUGGAGAACAGGAUAAAAGGGUCGGAUGAGGGGUACACUUGUGAUCUGACCCUUAAAGUUAGGGAAUAACUGGGCCGGGGUCCUCAAACUUAACACAGAGAAGUCCCUGAUAUUUUACACUGAUACCCUCGGGUCAAGAAAAGGAUACAGCCGAGCCCUCGGGCGAGGUAGAUAAGGGUCGGCGAACAGACAAGGUCGGGCGAGAUGGAAAAAGGGUCGAGCGAACCGGAAAGGGGUCGGCAGCUUACCUUCAGGUGUACUGGUUAAGCUUUGGGGUCGGGAAGGAACAGACUUGGACGGAAAGACUUAAGCACUAAGGCUUGGGCGGCGGUGAGGUUUGACGGUGCUCCGGCGGCGGCGGAGCUUCUUGUGGGCAAUAAGAAAGCUCUAGCACAACGCGGAGGAGCAGACGGUUUGGUGGAUUGGGGAGAAGCGGGUUUGAGCGGAGAGGGAAACUUCUCAAGAGCUCAGCGGGAGUGCUCAAGUGCUCUCAGAGUAUGGGCGGCGAAACAGCGAUGGCGAAGGAAAACUCUGGUGGGACUCUGGUAUGCCGCUUUAUAGCUGCGCGGAAGAGAGAGAUUUUUGAGCAGCACGAAGACCGGGAAGAAAAGGAGGGAGUGCGCUGCCAUGGCGGUGAUUGAGCGGCGAUGGGCAGCGGAACAGGACCUUGGAGAUAGAGUCUUCGGCCAUUGGGAACUGGAGACAAGGCCGGCGCAGGCGCGGCUUUGCCGGGAUUUAGAUUUGGCAGAGGCGAGCGUGGUCUGGUUGCGUCGAGUGGCGGAUUUGAUGGGCGUGUGAUAGGGAGGAAGGUGCUACCAGCGAGGUUGCAGCAAGUGAAGUGACAGUGCGAGCGGCGGCGCGGGCGAGCGCGAAACAGCGGCUUGCCGGGGCUCAUUACUGGCGAGAUGGAAAAAGGAGCUGUCGCGGCCGGAGUCGGGGUUGGUGGAGGAGGUAUCGUCGUGGAGUGAGCUCAUGGGCGGCGCAACUGUGGAGAGGCGGCGGAAAAACCGGAAGGCAUCAGGGCUUGCAGCCGGGGAUCCAGGCGAGAUGAUGGGCGCGGGUCGCGAGGUGGUCUGACGCAGCAGCGGCAAAACUCUGCCACGGCGGUGACGGGGCACCUUGGUGCGGCCGGCGAGGGCGCGAGCAAGACGAGGCGAGGCGGAAAGGGUUGCAGGGGGCUUCUGCUACGAUUGGGGAGGAGGGCGCGCUGAUCCAUCCUGUCGCGGCCGGCGACUAGGCGAGGCGGCGGGUGGCGGAGAGAUCAAGCCACGCGGCGGGGAAGCUCUGAAGCGGGCGCAUGCUGCUCAGGCGCGUUUGCCUCGGGAGAUCCGGGGAAAGAUUUCAGGUCCACCAGUCAGUCUCGGUUUCUCCACUGCUCCAAGAUUGGAAGGAUCUCUGCCUUUGAACUUAGAAAGAACCGGCAGUUUUGGGUUGGGUUUUCAGGGGUCGGGACUGAGAAUCGGAUUUUGAGCGCUUAAGCUCAGGAAGGCUGAGACAGCGGGAUUAGGGACUUUCGGUUGAAGAUUAACUCGGCUGAUUAUCCAAGGUCGUUACACUAACUCUCCCCUCCAGUUUUGACUACCGUGGCGCACCCCCUUUUGUCCCAGGCCAACUUUAAACCGGGACAAAAGGGGGGCGUAUCGAAAGCCAAUUCUCUACUAGUGGGAUGUGACUCAAAUGCCUUAUGUUCCUCCAAUUAAAUAUAAAAAUUUGCAUAAUUAUAUUUAUGCUUAUAUGUUCCAUGAUAGCACAUGUUCAAAACAUAGAUGAAGAAUUCAAUUAUUUUCUAGUGUUAAUUCAACUUUCUAUGUCAAAUUUACAAUAGAAUAAUUGUAAUAAAAUUUAAGUUUGGUGAGAAAAUUCUUCAAACUGGCAUGGUAACAUAUCUUUUGUUCAUAACUUAUCCAUAAAAAAUGAAGAUGAUUUUAAUACGGUGAAUGUAUCUAUUUUUACAAAUUGAUAUAUCUCUUACAUAGUUUUGUAUAACUCAAGUUAAACACUGAAAUUUGCAUAUAUUCAAAUAUUUUCGAACUCGGAAGGACCUGAAAUUUGGAUGACCUUAUAUUUUUCUUAAUAUUAGAAAAUAUAAAGUUACACCUGCUCUUGUUAUGUAAAAGUAAUUAGCAAAAAGAUGGCAUCAAACGAAAAUAGUUUGAACUACAAAGUUGUAAAUCUCAUCAAGUGCUACACUGUUUAUAUAAAAUUUAUCUCUAUCCGAUUUCAUAUGAAUUAGUUAUGAUUUUUGAAUGUAUGCUGCCCAAUUUCAGAUCUAAUAAAACUUGUGUCGAUUAUUUGAGCACCAAGAUGACACCAAAUGAAAAAAUUUUGGACUACAAAGUUGUAAAGAUCUCGUGGAGGUCUACAAUUUUUACAUAAAGUUUACCUCCAUCGAAGUUCAUAUAAAUUAGUUACGAUUUUUAAAAGUGUACUGCUCAAAGUAGGGAACCUACCACCGGUUCAACUGGCAGGUUGCUUCCACCGUUUCAAUUUCCAUUUUUUUUAUUAGGCCAUAUAUUUUUUCAAAAUACUAAAAUAAAAAAUAUAUAAAAAAAUUCGGCGCGGGCCUCCAAGUUCACAUGUUGCCUGUUGGGCCUGAUGCCUGGGCCGUUCGUUGACCAGACCGUUCAGCACCCAGCAUAGUUUUGGGCCAACAGCACAGCAGCGCGGGCAUGAGAUGAUGACGAUGAUACGCACCGGCCAGCAGCAGCAACCCGUUCGACGACAAGUGCUUAGCCCAUUCAGCAAUUCUGGCCUGAGUUUGUUUCGGCACAAAGAACAAGCACGCUUUCUCCUAACCUAAAAAGAAAGAUCAAGCUUCCUUAAGUACAUAUGUUACCUUAAUUCAUAUGCCCAUGCAUGCACGGAGACCUAAGACAUAUUUGGAUAAACUAAACCUAAAUUUUAGCCAUAACUAAAUUUUAGAUGUCUAAACUUUAGUUGGUUAAAAUUAGUCAUGUCUUGUUUAGAGCUAGAGCUAAUUUUUAGCCUAUUUAUUGGUAAAAGUCCAUCUAUCCGUGAGGGUGCAGGAGAGAAACCUUUGUCAACUUAGAUUUGUUUUUCAGAAAUAAAAACCUUUGUUAGCUUUGCAUUGGUACAAUAGUGGGACCCAUGUAACGAACGAUUUUAGACGCAACUCAUUUUAUAUAAACAUGUAACGUGCCGCGCACAACCUACCCAUUUUUUUUAAAAAAAUCAUCAAAAUGAUGGUCUAAUAUGAUCAUAAAUCUGUGACGCUUGAUAUUUGUCAUGAAAAUGUAAGAACAUUUGUCGUAAUAUAACAUUGCAAUAUUUUAUGACGUUUUUAGAUUAGUCUUAGUGACGAAUAUUUGAUUUCGUUUUGAUUUUUCGUCACUACCUUCCCCUACAAAAUGUCAUAAAAGGAAAUGAACUUAUUAUGUUUUGAUCUAUAGUCAUGAGGUAUUCGUCACAGAAGGUCACGUUUAUUGUAGUGACAACAGAUAUGGAAUGUAAUAGAAAAAGAAUUUUUAUUUAUUCUUUCCUUCCUUUACCCCUAUAUUCAUAUCUCCUUUUCUGUCCCGAUCAUCCCGUUCUGCUUUGUCAAUUGACCACCAGCGUAAAAGGCAAAGCCAUCGUCGAGCUCCAAACUCCCCACCCUCGAGCCCCAGGCCUUGUUUACUUCCCAAUUUGGGAUAGGCAAAAUUGGCAUUUUGCCAUAAAUGCGCAACUGUAGCGUUUCGUUUGUAUUUGUGAAUUAUUGUCCAAAUAUUAACUAAUUAGGCUCAAAAGAUUCGUCUCGCAAAGUACAACAAAACUGUGCAAUUAGUUUUUAAUUUCAUCUACAUUUAGUACUCCAUGCAUGUACCGCAAGUUUGAUGUGAUGGGAAAUCUUUUUUUUGCAUAGUGUCAAAGUUGAGAGUUUGGAGGGAAGUAAACAUGGCCCCAGUCUCCACAAAACUGCAAUAGUGGUGGCCAUGCCCCUAUCCAUGCGAACCCUAAGUCCUACCCAUGCCCCGGACCAUCAAAAUGGGCUCCCCUCCCUCGCCUCUCGCUCUCCAUGCCUGUAGAUCCUAGAAUGGUGACCGAGAAGCUGAUCUGAUGAUGAGACUCAUCUGCAGUACUUAUGCUACAGAGAGAUGUCCUGCAAAGCAUCUGCUUCCGAUUCUAGCGAUGCCAUGAACAGUGGUGGACCCGAGGACAAAACGGACUGCUGCGGUUUCUUUCUCCUAGCCCAAGCACCAACAAAUAUCAGCCUAUGGUCCAAAUCCAGAGCCCAAAACCCCAGGGCCAUCAGAUUGAUGCCAUGGCAAAAACUACCUCCAAUCAAAUAUAUAAGACAUUAAACAUUUUUUUCUUUCUCCUUUCGAAAUUAACCAACACUAAUUUCCAAAAGAGAACAGUAUGCUAGUCAAAGAAAAAGCGCACGCUGUACCUAUCGGGCAGCAGAACAACACGUACGAAGAACAGGGUCCAUACUCCAUAGUCUAAGAACAGGGUCCCCUCUCAGCACACAAAAAUCGGUAGCUCAGCUGUACCUAUCGGGCUUGCCGCCCCGGUGGCCCAGUCCCCGUCGGCUCGUGUCUCCGCGUGCGGCCUCGGCUAGCCUGCCGGCCGCCUCGUCACCCCCCGGUCUCGGCCUAACGGGCGACGACAGGACGGGCACGAGUUGCUGUCUGAAAAUCCCUUCCUGAUUCUGUUCUGCUGAAAACAGGCGGGGUGAUCAUUGAGUGCUUUGCCGAGGUCAUUUUCUGCAUCGAAUCGAGCUCGGCCUGGUCAGUGUGGGUGCGAGUGCGAGUACCUGCCCAAGAUGCGAGCUGCACGAGCACGACCACUGGUUGAAUUCUAGGCUGAUGUGCUUUCCCUGUCGCUUUUACGGAUGGACUGUUUUCUGCGUGGCGUGCUUUGAGCUAUUGCGCUCGUAUUGUACUUCCGGAAUCGUCCAAUCAUCACUUGCUCGCGUAUGCUAUAUCUCCGGAACAAAACACGACACCCCGUAUAGCAGCACCAAGGCACCAGCUACGGGUUUUGACUCAAAUCAUUAGUUUUCACAUAGCAGAACAGAUGUCUGCUGCUCCAAGCACAACUUUAGAUCAUAUAAAUUAGCGAUUGAUUUUUUGCUCAAAUUCUGCCCUACUCUACGUAGGAUUGGCCGGUAAUUGUUGUGAGAUAGUACUUCAUUUCAGAGAGUUUCACAUCUUCUAUUGAUAGCAACGGGUACAAAUUACCCGCGUGCCUGCGGGCAAAAAUCCGAUAGGACGAGGAUACGGGUUCUAUUUUGUGCCCACGGUUACGGGUGCGGGUUUGAGCUUGUACCCGCGGGUAAAAAAUUAGUGGGCAUAAAGAUAUCUUACCCGUGCCCGGAACCCCACGAACCCGCUACAUAGUGCCUGACAUGUGGACCCUAUGCAAGUAUAUAAUCGAUUUUAGGGUUCCCGUUCCUCCUCCGAUCCUUAUCCUUUCCUCCCGCACGCCCGCUGCUGCAGUCCCACUCGGCCGCUCACCCCAUGCACCACGGCAUAGGCGCCUAGACGGCCGCCGCACCUCCCUGCUGCCCGCCCUCACCCCUCGCUCCUCGCCGCCACCUCUCCGCCGCCACCUCCCCUCCCCCCCGCCACCUCUCCACCGCCCGCCAUCGCGAGGCCGCUCCGACGACGCCCGGCUCCCCUGCACCGCCGCCCAACACCCGGUUCCACCCAACGUCUGGCGGGCACGGGUGUGCCCGCGGGUAGACUGUGCCUGCAGGUGACGGGUGCAGGCACAACUUCUUAUCCGUGAUGGGUGGUGGGCGUGGGUACAGGUAUAGGGUUUGCCUCGCGGGCGCGGGUCUGUAAACCCUCUGCCCAUAGGUAACGUGCCCGUUGCCGUCCAUAACAUCUUCCCCCGUUCAAUACAGGACUUAGCUUAAAUGUUAAAAAAUAAGCUGAUUAAAUAAUAAAAUUUUUAAGCAUUUCGAUAGGAUAUGGUCGCAAGUAGGCAAGUAGCUAUGAAAUUUGCGGCAUCGACUCUAGACUGCCGUCCUUGUUCAAUGAAGGAUAUGUUCAAUGUCUAUCUGUUUCAGAAUGAGUUAUCAUCAGAAUGGUUCCUUUACCAUAACAAAAAUCUUAACCUUGCGUAGGAGAUUAAGUUUCCACAAGAAUUUCUUCGACUAAAGGUGGGUUAGAUCAUCAUUUACUUGCACAUAUAGUGAACCAAAAAGGGCACUAACAUGCAAAAUUCCACCUAGCUAAUAUAUCAUGUCCAUUCCAUAUUUGCAAAUAAGCUAGUUGUGAUGCCAUAUAUAUGUUGCCAUGCAAUUAAUUGUUCUCCAACAAUUGGCCUACGGAAAUAGAGGUUCAGUGGUAUAGAUCUCAUGACUUCCGCUGUAAUUUGCCUUCAUAUAUAGCACCACGUAAUAUAGUGUCAGAUGAGUAUGGUCAGAUAAGGCCUGGUCGAGUGCCUCCACGGUGAUGUUGGGAUAAUUGAGUUCCCACUCCAUGUUCAUUAAAACUCCAUCCAACUUUUCAUGUGGUAGGGGAUCAUGAUUGUUCGACCAAAUGUGCAAUGGUGCACGAUCAUCUCGCGCGCUGCCACAACCCCGGCAUGCACCCACCGCAGCCUGUCGCGCAGGCCGCUACAGCUGGACCCAAGAGAGAGAGAGACGUACAUGGGGAGAUGAAGUCUUUGCUGCCGCAUCUGCGCCCGCUGUUGCCAUCGCCGUAGUCCGCAUCUGCCGCCGCUGUAGCCCCAGCCCGCAUCCGUCGCCAAGCUACUUCUCGCACAUCUCACCCUACUGCUCCAUGCACGCCCCUGCGCUGCUCCUCGACCCGCCACCGAGCUCCUUGGUGAGCAGGGCGAGCCAUCGAGGAGCGGUCCUUGGCAUCACCGCCAUAGCCUGCCGCCGCUCUUGGCCUCACCGACUACUGACACGUCUCUCCCCGCUGCCGCUCCUCGCCAUAGGCACGAGGUGAGGGGCGAGUGGAGGGGGAAGGAUGAGGGACGGUGAAGGUAGAGAAGUGGAGAUAGGGGACGGAGACACGAGCGGAUAAGUGACCGUCUGCAGGUGGAGGAGAGGGGCCGGGUGGAG